GAUGAACGCUGGCGGCGUGCCUAAUACAUGCAAGUCGAACGAACAGACGAGGGGCUUGCUCCUUCGACGUUAGCGGCGGACGGGUGAGUAACACGUAGGUAACCUACCUAUAAGACUGGGAUAACUUCGGGAAACCGGAGCUAAAACCGGAUAAUAUUUCGAACCGCAUGGUUCGAUAGUGAAAGAUGGCUUUGCUAUCACUUAUAGAUGGACCUGCGCCGUAUUAGCUAGUUGGUAAGGUAACGGCUUACCAAGGCAACGAUACGUAGCCGACCUGAGAGGGGGAUCGGCCACACUGGAACUGAGACACGGUCCAGACUCCUACGGGAGGCAGCAGUAGGGAAUCUACCGCAAUGGGCGAAAGCCUGACGGAGCAACGCCGCGUGAGUGAUGAAGGUCUUCGGAUCGUAAAACUCUGUUAUUAGGGAAGAACAAACGUGUAAGUAACUGUGCACGACUUGACGGUACCUAAUCAGAAAGCCACGGCUAACUACGUG
rnacentral:rRNA from 1 species